UGGGCGGAGAGCCAGAACUUCGUUCAUGUUUUUAUUACAUCUGACCAUAUAUGGACAUUUUCAUGGUCAUUGUCUCAACAAUAAUAAUAAUAAGUCUCAGUCUGACACUGAUGGUAAGAUGGCCGACCUCCACCUCUACUUAUUGAAGUGUUGAAAGAAAAAGACACCCCAGACUGUACUUCCAACUUGAUGUCUUUUAUUGUGUUUAAAUUACAUUCAGUGCUUUGGUCCAAUGUUCAUGUUGAUGUAACUAAGAAAACACUAACUAGUGUAUCACACUGGAUUCUACAACACAUCAACUUUAACUAUUUGUUGUAAUAUUUACUUUUAUUUCAACACAAAAAGUAAAAACUUAGUGUAGUGAAAAAUAUUCUGACAUUUCCUCAACCAUCCUCGCCUCUGUAUCGGGGCCAAACCGGACUCUACAGCACAGUUUUGUUGUUGUUGUUUCUUCUUCUUGAUGCUGUUCAAUAUUGUCUCUGCAGUGAUGGUUAUUGCUUCCUUGAAUAAAUCACCAUCUGUAGAAGGCGUCUUGUGUUUCACCAAAAGGUACCUUCAGUCACAGUAUUAUUUUGAGCAGUUUGUUUUGUGAAAAGAGACUGCUAUUCCUUCAGUCCAGCAACUUUCUUAGCACAAAGAGGUGUAAUGUUCUUUUACCUUGACUGCAGACUUGUGUGGAUACUAACACUAAAGAUGAGCUCCACACAGUGGUGGUAGAAAGACAAGACACAAGAGGAGAGAAAGUGGAGACGGUUCUUGUGUCUCUUCAGCGGUCCACUCUGCCCAGUGAAAAUAUCCUGUAGGUGUGAUGAGAGAAUUGACUUAUGAACUGGAGGUUUCUCUGAUUAUGGCCCUGUGGUGGUUUAGUGGUUAAGGAAGUGGACUUGGGUCAGGACAGUUCCAGGUUUGAGUCCACCAGCUGCCAAGUUACAACUGAGGUGCUCAGAGCAUGGCACCGUCCCCACACACUGCUGCCCCCUGCUGACUGGGGUGACAGGUUAAAAGCAGAGGUCACAUUUGGUUGUGCAGUGGUACAGUGGUGUGUCACAAUGACAGUAGUUCACUUUCCUUCAUCCUUUUCUCCUUCACAGCCACUUGUGACCAAAGACUCUGCUGUCAGUUCCACUCUGCUCCAGUAGAGGAUGAUGUUCAGCGAGUUCACACAUCAAUGGAGCAAACAAAUGAAGCCAUUAUCAACCUUCAACCGGCGCUGUUGGAAGCAGUCGAGGACUUCGUGCUUAUAUUAAAUACAAGCUGAAAGUCCAACACCCACAGACAGGCAAAAUGGUAUAUCCUGCCUGUGACCUCUGCCCUGUUCUCAAGUCAUCCUGCAGGUGGACCUCUUCAAUAUCUUCCUCCAGCAAUUCUACAUCUAUGGUUAGAGCCACAACUUGAAGAAGUGGAUGAGUUGGCUUUACUCCACAGUAGAGAGUAUCUGAAGUAAAUGAUACUACAGACUUUAUUGGUGUACCUGGAGAAGAUAAGUGUUUGGACCGUCUGACUUGAAAAGCAGAAGCAUCGCUCCAAUGAAGAACACCAUUAAAACGAUAAAUGUUGACUGGGUUCUGCAGAGAGGAUCAUUAAAAAGAGAUGUUGACUGGACCAUGUCAGGGAUGAGAUCUACAGGAAAACUGACGUGAAUAGCAGAAGCAUCUUUCCUAUAAAGAACACCGUUAAAACUAUAAGUUUGCCCCUUUUUUUGGUAUAUUAGUUUGAUGCGUUGAGCUCACAGAUGUUUAAAACAUUUAAUUUUGUUUGAUAAUUCAAACAAUUGUGUCAAUAUGACUCUGUUUGGUCUUAAACAGUUUUGUGUUUAACAGUGUAGACUUAGGUCUGGCUUGUCUCCCACUGCCAAGUUCAUUUCCUACUAAAGACUUGCCUGCCCUUCUGGAACAUUUAGAAAAUGUAUUGGGAGACAAAAAAAAAAAAAAAAAAAAAUGUAUCCGAUACAUGCAGGGCCAAUCUGGCAAAUUUAUUAAUAUACGGAAGUAAUGUGGUAGGCACACAGAUUAGGUUGCAAGUUUGACGCUGCGUGCUUGCA